AGAGUUUGAUCAUGGCUCAGGAUGAACGCUAGCGGCAGGCUUAAUACAUGCAAGUCGUGGGGCAGCAGGGGUAGCAAUACUCGCUGGCGACCGGCAAACGGGUGCGGAACACGUACACAACCUUCCUUAAAGUGGGGAAUAGCCCAGGGAAACUUGGAUUAAUACCCCGUAAUAUUAUUAGAUGGCAUCAUUUGAUAAUUAUAGCUCCGGCGCUUAAAGAUGGGUGUGCGGCUGAUUAGGUAGUUGGCGGGGUAACGGCCCACCAAGCCUACGAUCAGUAACUGGUGUGAGAGCACGACCAGUCACACGGGCACUGAGACACGGGCCCGACUCCUACGGGAGGCAGCAGUAAGGAAUAUUGGUCAAUGGACGCAAGUCUGAACCAGCCAUGCCGCGUGGAGGAUGAAGGUCCUCUGGAUUGUAAACUUCUUUUAUCUGGGAAGAAACCCAAGGUUUCUACUUUGGUUGACGGUACCAGAUGAAUAAGCACCGGCUAACUCCGUGCCAGCAGCCGCGGUAAUACGGAGGGUGCAAGCGUUAUCCGGAUUCACUGGGUUUAAAGGGUGCGUAGGUGGGCUAGUAAGUCAGUGGCGAAAUCUCCGGGCUUAACCCGGAAACUGCCAUUGAUACUAUCAGUCUUGAAUACCGUGGAGGUAAGCGGAAUAUGUCAUGUAGCGGUGAAAUGCUUAGAUAUGACAUAGAACACCAAUUGCGAAGGCAGCUUACUACCCGAAUAUUGACACUGAGGCACGAAAGCGUGGGGAUCAAACAGGAUUAGAUACCCUAGUAGUCC
rnacentral:rRNA from 1 species